rnacentral:rRNA from 1 species
AUUGAACGCCGGCGGCAUGCCUUACACAUGCAAGUCGAACGGUAACAGGUCUUCGGAUGCUGACGAGUGGCGAACGGGUGAGUAAUACAUCGGAACGUGCCUAGUAGUGGGGGAUAACUACUCGAAAGAGUGGCUAAUACCGCAUGAGAUCUACGGAUGAAAGCAGGGGAUCGCAAGACCUUGUGCUACUAGAGCGGCCGAGGGCAGAUUAGGUAGGUGGUGGGAUAAAAGCUUACCAAGCCGACGAUCUGUAGCUUGUCUGAGAGGACGAUCAGCCACACUGGGACUGAGAAACGGCCCAGACUCCUACGGGAGGCAGCAGUGGGGAAUUUUGGACAAUGGGCGCAAGCCUGAUCCAGCAAUGCCGCGUGCAGUAUGAAGGCCUUCGGGUUGUAAACUGCUUUUGUACGGAACGAAAAGCCCCGGGUUAAUACCCUGGGGUCAUGACGGUACCGUAAGAAUAAGCACCGGCUAACUACGUGCCAGCCGCCGCAGUAA